rnacentral:misc_RNA from 1 species
GCUUUGCGGCUGGAUCCCCUCCUUUCUAAGGAUUGGCCCUCAUGGCCCUUUCCCUCGGGAAAGUCAGCCAUAUCGGCCUAUCUUCAGAACAAAAUGACACUGCGGGAUGCCGCCGUCUUCGUUUCUCUUUCCAGCGUCGCAAGGGGCUGGGCGACCUGAUCGGGCCUGUAGCUCAGUUGGUUAGAGCGCACGCCUGAUAAGCGUGAGGUCGGUAGUUCAAAUCUACCCAGGCCCACCAUCGCCCAGGAAAGCCCGUUGACCGGGACCGAGCGUCUUCCGGGGCCAUAGCUCAGUUGGGAGAGCGCCUGCUUUGCAAGCAGGAGGUCGUCGGUUCGAUCCCGUCUGGCUCCACCAUCAUGUGCGACGCAUGAAACGGGUUUCGCCGCGCCUGUCGCGCGGCGGGUUCAUUGACAUCGUGAAGAGGAAGAGUUGUCCGCGUGCUGUCGUCAUCCUGCAAGGGAUGGGGGCGGUGAACGGACAUCUCCGAGAUGAUCGCUGGUAAAUAUCCGUUGUCGGUUCCGCUUUCGGGCGGGCAUUGGCAAUGGGUGUGAUCAAGUGCCUUAAGGGCAUUCGGUGGAUGCCUUGGCGCACACAGGCGAUGAAGGACGUGGUACGCUGCGAUAAGCCACGGGGAGCUGCGAGCAAGCUUUGAUCCGUGGAUUUCCGAAUGGGGAAACCCGGAAGC